UACGUAUGGUGCAAGCGUUAUCCGGAUUUACUGGGUGUAAAGGGAGCGCAGGCGGCACGGCAAGCCUGAUGUGAAAGCCCGCGGCCCAACCGCGGGACUGCAUUGGGAACUACCGGGCUGGAGUGCCGGAGAGGCAGGCGGAAUUCCCAGUGUAGCGGUGAAAUGCGUAGAUAUUAGGAGGAACACCAGUGGCGAAGGCGGCCUACUGGACGGUGACUGACGCUGAGGCUCGAAAGCGUGGGGAGCAAACAGG
rnacentral:rRNA from 1 species